GACGAGGGAUCCUAGCGUUGUUCGGAAUUAUUGGGCGUAAAGCGGGUGUAGGCGGACUUAUAAGUCAGGUGUGAAAUCCCAGGGCUCAACCCUGGAAGUGCACUUGAUACUGUAAGUCUUGAAUGUGGUAGAGGUUACUAGAAUUCCUGGUGUAGUGGUGAAAUACGUUGAUAUCAGGAGGAAUACCGGAGGCGAAGGCGGGUAACUGGGCCAACAUUGACGCUGAGAUCCGAAAGCGUGGGGAUCAAACAGG
rnacentral:rRNA from 1 species